rnacentral:rRNA from 1 species
AGCGAACGCUGGCGGAAUGCUUAACACAUGCAAGUCGCACGGGGGUUUCGGCUCGAGUGGCGGACGGGUGAGUAACGCGUAGGAACGUGUCUUGGGGUGGGGGAUAACGCUGGGAAACUGGCGCUAAUACCGCAUAUGGGCUGAGGCCCAAAGCCUUCGGGUGCCUUGAGAGCGGCCUGCGUCCGAUUAGCUAGUUGGUGGGGUAACUGCUUACCAAGGCGACGAUCGGUAGCUGGUCUGAGAGGACGAUCAGCCACACUGGGACUGAGACACGGCCCAGACUCCUACGGGAGGCAGCAGUGGGGAAUAUUGGACAAUGGGCGGAAGCCUGAUCCAGCAAUUCCGCGUGGGUGAAGAAGGUCUUCGGAUUGUAAAGCCCUUUCGACAGGGACGAUGAUGACGGUACCUGUAGAAGAAGCCCCGGCUAACUUCGUGCCAGCCGCCGCAGUAA